rnacentral:SRP_RNA from 1 species
CGGCUGUAAUGGUCAAGCGGUUGAAGGCUUUCGUUAUUCUUCUCCUGCUACCCCAUACACAUUGGAACCCCUCAGUGGCGCCCAGUGCGAAUGCUGCGGUGGUCGUCCACUCGUACGGGCAACCUACGAUUGCUGCGACGUCCCUAAGCAAUGAAGAUGAUACUUGAGGGAGGUUUCACUCUGCAGAGGCAUCUUCACCGUCGCAUGGCGUGCUGGAUUACGAUCGCUGAGGGCUUGGGGUAGUAGCUGAAGAUGGAGAUGUCAACAGCCAAUU